rnacentral:rRNA from 1 species
AUUGAACGCUGGCGGCAGGCUUAACACAUGCAAGUCGAACGCGUGGCGGACGGGGGAGUCAUGCUUGGGAAUCUCGCUUAUGGAGGGGGAUAACUCCGGGAAACUGUAGCUAAUACCGCGUACCAUAGGAUGAUCCCAAGUUGGAUUAGGUAGUUGGUGGGGUAAAGGCUCACCAAGGCGACGAUCUCUAGCUGGUCUGAGAGGAUGACCAGCCACACUGGGACUGAGACACGGCCCAGACUCCUACGGGAGGCAGCAGUGGGGAAUAUUGCGCAAUGGGGGAAAGCUGACGAAGCAAUGCCGCGUGAAUGAAGAAGGCCUUCGGGUUGUAAAGUUCUUUCGGUAGCGAGGCGUUAACUACAGAAGAAGCACCGGCUAACUCCGUGCCAGCAGCCGCGGUAAUAC